CUCUGCAGGACUCAGACCCGUCAGUCCACCACAACCACCAUGACUCUCAUCACCCUCCUCAUCUGGACGCUGGCCUGCUGCAGCUUCACAGGAUGCAGCGGCGAGAUGACUGUGACUCAGCCUCCAGUCGUGACAUUUACUCCAGGAUCCACUGUCACGUUGACCUGUAACACCAACCCCAGUUUUCAUAGUACUUGUAUGUCCUGGUACAAGCAGAAACCUGGACAGGCUCCCAAGCUUCUUAUAUACCAAACAACAGCUCUAUAUUCAGGAACUCCCUCUCGAUUCAGUGGCAGUGGCUCUGGUUCCAGCUCCACCUUAACCAUCAAUGGUGUUCAGGCUGAAGAUGUUGGAGAUUAUUACUGUGUCGGUGGUCUUUGCGAUGGAAUGUUCACACAGUGA